UACGUAGGGACCAAGCGUUGUUCGGAUUUACUGGGCGUAAAGGGCGCGUAGGCGGCGUGACAAGUCACUUGUGAAAUCUCUGAGCUUAACUCAGAACGGCCAAGUGAAACUGUUGUGCUAGAGUGCAGAAGGGGCAAUCGGAAUUCUUGGUGUAGCGGUGAAAUGCGUAGAUAUCUGGAGGAACACCGGUGGCGAAGGCGGCAUCCUGGACCACGACUGACGCUGAGGAGCGAAAGCCAGGGGAGCAAACGGG
rnacentral:rRNA from 1 species